rnacentral:rRNA from 1 species
UGAGGAAUAUUGGUCAAUGGACGAGAGUCUGAACCAGCCAAGUAGCGUGAAGGAUGACUGCCCUAUGGGUUGUAAACUUCUUUUAUACGGGAAUAAAGUUAGCCACGUGUGGCUUUUUGUAUGUACCGUAUGAAUAAGGAUCGGCUAACUCCGUGCCAGCAGCCGCGGUAAUACGGAGGAUCCGAGCGUUAUCCGGAUUUAUUGGGUUUAAAGGGAGCGUAGGCGGGUUGUUAAGUCAGUUGUGAAAGUUUGCGGCUCAACCGUAAAAUUGCAGUUGAUACUGGCGACCUUGAGUGCAACAGAGGUAGGCGGAAUUCGUGGUGUAGCGGUGAAAUGCUUAGAUAUCACGAAGAACUCCGAUUGCGAAGGCAGCUUACUGGAUUGUAACUGACGCUGAUGCUCGAAAGUGUGGGUAUCAAACAGGAUUAGAUACCCUGGUAGUCCACACAGUAAACGAUGAAUACUCGCUGUUGGCGAUAUACGGUCAGCGGCCAAGCGAAAGCAUUAAGUAUUCCACCUGGGGAGUACGCCGGCAACGGUGAAACUCAAAGGAAUUGACGGGGGCCCGCACAAGCGGAGGAACAUGUGGUUUAAUUCGAUGAUACGCGAGGAACCUUACCCGGGCUUAAAUUGCAACUGACUGAACCGGAAACGGUUCUUUCUUCGGACAGUUGUGAAGGUGCUGCAUGGUUGUCGUCAGCUCAUGCCGUGAGGUGUCGGCUUAAGUGCCAUAACGAGCGCAACCCUUAUCGAUAGUUACUAGCAGGUCAUGCUGAGGACUCUAUUGAGACUGCCGUCGUAAGAUGUGAGGAAGGUGGGGAUGACGUCAAAUCAGCACGGCCCUUACGUCCGGGGCUACACACGUGUUACAAUGGGGGGUACAGAAGGCAGCUACACGGCGACGUGGUGCUAAUCCCGAAAGCCUCUCUCAGUUCGGAUUGGAGUCUGCAACCCGACUCCAUGAAGCUGGAUUCGCUAGUAAUCGCGCAUCAGCCACGGCGCGGUGAAUACGUUCCC